AUACAGAGGGUGCAAGCGUUGUCCGGAUUUAUUGGGCGUAAAGAGCUCGUAGGCGGUUUUGUAAGUCGGAUGUGAAAACUCAGGGCUCAACCCUGAGACGCCAUCCGAUACUGCAAUGACUAGAGUCCGGUAGGGGAGCAUGGAAUUCCUGGUGUAGCGGUGGAAUGCGCAGAUAUCAGGAGGAACACCAGUGGCGAAGGCGGUGCUCUGGGCCGGUACUGACGCUGAGGAGCGAAAGCAUGGGGAGCAAACAGGAUUAGAUACCCUAGUAGUCC
rnacentral:rRNA from 1 species